rnacentral:rRNA from 1 species
UACGUAGGGGGCAAGCGUUAUCCGGAUUUACUGGGUGUAAAGGGAGCGUAGACGGCGAUGCAAGUCUGAAGUGAAAGGCGGGGGCCCAACCCCCGGACUGCUUUGGAAACUGUAUGGCUGGAGUGCAGGAGAGGUAAGUGGAAUCCCUAGUGUAGCGGUGAAAUGCGUAGAUAUUAGGAGGAACACCAGUGGCGAAGGCGGCUUACUGGACUGUAACUGACGUUGAGGCUCGAAAGCGUGGGGAGCAAACAGG